rnacentral:rRNA from 1 species
GACGAACGCUGGCGGCGUGCCUAAUACAUGCAAGUCGAACGCACAGUUUAUACCGUAGCUUGCUACACCAUAGACUGUGAGUUGCGAACGGGUGAGUAACGCGUAGGUAACCUGCCUGGUAGCGGGGGAUAACUAUUGGAAACGAUAGCUAAUACCGCAUAAUAUUAAUUAUUGCAUGAUAAUUAAUUGAAAGGUGCAAUUGCACCACUACCAGAUGGACCUGCGUUGUAUUAGCUAGUAGGUGAGGUAACGGCUCACCUAGGCGACGAUACAUAGCCGACCUGAGAGGGUGAUCGGCCACACUGGGACUGAGACACGGCCCAGACUCCUACGGGAGGCAGCAGUAGGGAAUCUUCGGCAAUGGACGAAAGUCUGACCGAGCAACGCCGCGGGAGUGAAGAAGGUUGUCGGAUCGUAAAGCUCUGUUGUAAGAGAAGAACGGGUGUGAGAGUGGAAAGUUCACACUGUGACGGUAGCUUACCAGAAAGGGACGGCUAACUACGUG